GUUUUAUUCUUAUAUUUGCCUCUCCCUACGCGAGGGAGACGAACUCUGAAUUAUUUCUUUGGUAACUCCACGUUCGUUGAACCUUUGAAACUUCGCGCGAGUCUGCUCGCCCCGGAAGACACGAGAGAACACGCCCAGCUCUAAAAGCACGACGCACGCAGCUCUUAGCAGGCACAAAGAUACCCACAUGGGGUACCAGGACUCCCCUCCUUUAUCUCUUCUUGAUUUAGAGGCUUGCAGAUGGGGUAAACACAGGCAGCAGUGCCAGAGCAGGAAAAGGCAGUUUGAGGAUGAGAGAGAGCUCCACAUCUCCCUGAGAGGAUUCAGACAUAGAGGGGACGACACACAUCAAAGAAUCUGGAUGGUGAAGAGAAAUGCCCAUUACUUCCAUUUUAGUGAGCCCAGCUUGCUUCUGGUUGCAAAGUCAAGUAUCCUCAUUCUAAAGAUGGGCUCACAUGAACAGUCAUGGAUUGUGGUCUUCUAGAAACUAUAAUCGCAUGAAAAACAAAGCCUACAGCUCAUUUUCAAGUAUCACAAGGAUAAAAUGACUAGCAAGAGAGAGUGAAGGAGAUGAUGGAUCACUACUCUCCUAUUUAAAGCCAUUUUUUUAGGGCUGGCUAUGCUUUGACUAAGCCACACCCCUUCUCAACUUCCACCUCGAGGAGGUCCCCAAAGCCAACCCAAUGGCCAAACAACACGAGAACAAAUGGGCUAUGGCCGGGAAGAGGUCAGGGAGCAAGGGGGCCACGGGGAUCCGGGGCGUGGGACUCGGGCCCCGGCCUGAGUCUUAGGUAUCCGUAGCGCCCUCCUUCUUCCUCCUCUUCGCUGAAUACAGCUCACGGUAAGUACUGGUUCACACAGUUCGUUCUCGAGGUGCUCACUCUCUUUCUCUUCCUCCACAGGCAACGGCUGGGACACAAAAGCACAGUUAAUUCGGCUUGGUUUUGCUCUCACCUCUUCGCUGAUUGCAGCUCACAGUAAGUACUGGUUCACACAGUUCGUUCCUUGG
ensembl:lncRNA